CACCUCCCUGGCAACUCCGUGGGUGUAUUUGCUUUACAGCCUGCGAAGCGUUUCCAAACACAUAAAGUCAGAAGGUGGGCAGCGCAUUCAAGACCAUUUAUGAUGGCCACUCUUCCUGUCUGCUGGCACAUCACUGCUGACGGGUUGAAUCCACUUGGAGACAUCAGCAACAGAGGCAGUGGGAGUGGAAUAGUGUAAUUGUUCGAGUGGCCGUCUCCCAACCUACAUGUCAUGGAUUUGCUCCUCAAUACACACAUGAGCUGCCAACAAACCAUAUGUGAGGGAGGACAGCAACACACAGCAAAAGCUUUUCCAUCAACGAAUCUCCAUCUGCUCUGUGGAUGCACGUGUGUGUCUGUGGUUGUGCGCACUCUGAUACGCUUCACUUCGUUGCAGGCAAUUUUGUCAUAUCAAUCAACAGCGCCGUUGCAGUGAGGUGGAUUUCUCCAUUUUGCAUGAUACAAUUAAUUAAUAACCAAUUUACCACAAUCAAUCGGUCCUUACUGAUUAAUUAUAAUGCUCAUUAUAGUUGAAACUGUGCCUCCCUCGGAAAUUGGGUAUAAUGAGACAUAUUGUCAACUUGGCACCAAUGAAAUAAUCAUGAUCAUGCCAAUAUAGCCCCUAAUUUUGUUUACUAGCAAUGUAUAGGGAAAGACAUCGGAGUGAUUGAAUGCAGAUGAAGCCAUUAGAUAACCCUAUUUGCCACAUUAUAGAAAGAAGUAGUAGCUCACAUUUUGUUCCAAUUUGCUAACAGUGAUGUAUUUUAGUGUGAGUGUUUGCAUUCAACUAAUUCAUUACAUUGCAUUUUAACAAGUGCUCCAUUAAAGUGCACGACAAUCUGUUAA